UUCUUCUCGUUUGUCAGCGAAGCAAGCAGACAGAUGUUAAAACCAGUUCAAAGAGAGUAGAAAAGGAGACCGUUUAUAGACGAGGCGGAUUGAAGUGAGAACAUACUUUGAACUUCACGAGGCCCCAAGCUUCCAUAAACCUUGAGCGUGGCGUGGUGAUUCAGGCUGUGGAAUGUGAGCACAGGCCACGCUGCCGGGAGGACAAGCCGUCGCGGAGCCAGGGACAGCAAUCCACGGGGAGGACAGAGAUUGCAAAGCGCUGGGGAGUUCACCAGGAGAAGGGGGAGCAGGGCCACAAGGCUCACCCCCCCCUCCCCGCUGUGAUCAGAUAAAAACGUAGGAGUCGAGUUGCUAGCUGUGA